rnacentral:rRNA from 1 species
GACGAACGCUGGCGGCGUGCUUAACACAUGCAAGUCGAACGGGGUUAAGGAGCUUGCUUCUUAACUUAGUGGCGAAUGGGUGAGUAACGCGUGAGGAACCUGCCUUUCAGUGGGGGACAACAGUUGGAAACGACUGCUAAUACCGCAUAAAACCGUAGUACCGCAUGGUACAUCGGUCAAAGAUUUAUUGCUGAAAGAUGGCCACGCGUCUGAUUAGCUAGUUGGUGGGGUAAUGGCCCACCAAGGCGACGAUCAGUAGCCGGACUGAGAGGUUGACCGGCCACAUUGGGACUGAGAUACGGCCCAGACUCCUACGGGAGGCAGCAGUGGGGAAUAUUGGGCAAUGGGCGAAAGCCUGACCCAGCAACGCCGCGUGAAGGAAGAAGGCCUUCGGGUUGUAAACUUCUUUUACCAGGGACGAACACAAUGACGGUACCUGGAGAAAAAGCAACGGCUAACUACGUGCCAGCAGCCGCGGUAAAAC